rnacentral:tRNA from 1 species
UGGCUCAGUCAGUUGAGCGUGGCGCUAACAACGCUAAGGUCACGGGUUCAAUUCCCGU